ensembl:lncRNA
AAGGCGCGCUCGCCCCACCCUCGCGCGGCUGCGGCCUCGCGCGGGCGCUAACGGCCGCUUCCCGCGGCCCCCGGUAGGUCGGUUGUAGCGGCGGGAGGGGCCCUGCUGCGGCGCCGCUYCCCGGCCUCGCUUCCCCUUCCGCCAGCCGCGGGGCGGCCCUGCGCGCGCGCUCCGCCGUUAACGGUCGCUAACGGUCGCUGCCGCGCGGCGCGGGCCUGUGAGGCCCAGGGGCUCUCCGGCGUCCUUUCGCCUUGUCCUCCGCUCAGAGCGCCUUUGCUGGGGCUAGGGGGAAGGAGCCUCCGCUAAAGCACAAGCGAGCGCUUCCAGCCUGCCUCAAGUGCGUCUCCUGCCUUCUGCCCCAGCAGGCGUGCUCGCAGCAGGCUGUGAAGCCCGGCCUGGCUGUAGCACGCUGCCCCUUUGCUGCGGAAAAGCUUAGCGUCUUGCAGCGCACUUUACUAACUUCAGUUCCGUACCACAUUUUUGUUUGAUUCAAAUCUCCUGUGGAGGCAAGAGUAACCAAGUUGCCUGCGGUUAUGCAAAAAGAAUAAGAACAAGAGUCAGAAUUAACUUUCAGAAAUCUUAAUACCACCUCUUCUUAGCCCAUUCCAGUCUUUUCAUGUGUAUGUGGGGUGCCAUCAGAUGAUUCACCUUCAAGUAGCAUCAGUAAAAAUUCUCUUGGAUGGUUUCAAAGGAGAACCUGAAUUUGGUGAUUGUCCAGGCAGGCUGCAGAAGUUAUGGAUUUGUACAUGCUGUAAGAUUGAGAUGUGUUUUCUGUAAUUCUGCAGAGUUGGAGAGGAGCUGGAUUAGCUUUUGGAUUUCACUUCUGGUGUUCUGUGUAUGCUACCACUACAGAAUUCCUAUUACAGCACCUUUUCUUCAUGUCACUCCCAAAACAUAGACAUUAUAAUUAGGUGUCUGCAUUUUAAUGAGCACUUGUAGCUGUAUGUAAAUACUUUAAAAUCACAGUAUAGCAGAGUUCUAAAAGUGUUAAGGGUUUUUUAUUUUGUGCUAUGUAAGAUGGAUGUGUUUUUAAUAUGGUAGAAAAGCUAGUACUUUCCUGGGCAGUAUGACAAUAUUAUAUAUGAAUUAAAGCUACUUCUGAAUUGUCUGCUCAAGUUCCACUGUGACCGCUCAGUGUUUAUUAAAUAAUUUAUUGAUAACAUCUUGAAAUCUGCCUGUGAUAAAAUAUUCAUGUACCUAAUACAGUAUUUUCAUGCUAAAACAGCAGUGAUGACUGGCCAUGUAAAAUACUUUUAGUAAACUCUUUUAAUCUAAAAUAAGUCUAGUAUUUCUAAUCACUUAGUAAUUAUUUAAAAUUUUAAUUUUCCAGAGGAUGAAAUUAUGUCCUAGCCCUGCUGUAAAAAUUGUUUUUAUAGGCAUUUACUUCAUAUGAUUUAAAAUGAAGUCCUAGAUAAUGAUUUUGCAUUUGAGUGUUUAAUUACUGAUGUCAAUACAUAAACAUCAUAACUCUACUCAGAUAAUAAUUAAACUUAAACUGGUAGUAAAGGAAGUUUAGCUUCCUGGAAAUUUUAUCUGAAACUUUUCAGUACAAACUGAACUCCACUACAAGUCUGCAUCUACUACAUGUUUGGAAGUAUCAAUAUCAGAAAUGAAACAAUUUAGUUUUAUAUAAGAAAGUUGGGCAAUAGGUAAUUUCCAUUUUUAUGCUGUGUACAUUUAGUUUUAUGGGCUUUGAAGAGUAAAGUGGUGUUUAUUCUUUUACUAGUUAGAAAAACUAUUUUGAUCUUUAGUUAUUUUUAAAUUCAUAAGAAAAGGCCUAAUACAGUUUUUGGCAUUUGCUAAUAUUUAGCAUUACAUUUAUUGCACAAACCACAUUGUUUAAAGUCA